rnacentral:rRNA from 1 species
AACGAACGCUGGCGGCAUGCCUAACACAUGCAAGUCGAACGAUAUCUUCGGGUCUAGUGGCGCACGGGUGCGUAACGCGUGGGAAUCUGCCCUUUGGUUCGGAAUAACAGUUGGAAACGACUGCUAAUGCCGGAUGAUGACGAAAGUCCAAAGAUUUAUCGCCAGAGGAUGAGCCCGCGUAGGAUUAGCUAGUUGGUGUGGUAAAGGCGCACCAAGGCGACGAUCCUUAGCUGGUCUGAGAGGAUGAUCAGCCACACUGGGACUGAGACACGGCCCAGACUCCUACGGGAGGCAGCAGUGGGGAAUAUUGGACAAUGGGCGAAAGCCUGAUCCAGCAAUGCCGCGUGAGUGAUGAAGGCCUUAGGGUUGUAAAGCUCUUUUACCCGGGAUGAUAAUGACAGUACCAGGAGAAUAAGCUCCGGCUAACUCCGUGCCAGCCGCCGCGGUAA